rnacentral:rRNA from 1 species
GAGGAGCCGUACUGCCAAGAAAGAGCCGCUCAGGGAGGUUAUUUGUUGCCCGUACCGGAAACCGACACAGGUGGACGAGGGUAGUACCCAAAGGCGCACAAGAGAACCCCUGUUAAGGAACUCGGCAAAAUGCACGUGUAACUUCGGGAUAAGCGUGGCCUCAAGUAGGUGAUGGGGAGAAACCGAAGCUGAAAGAGGUUGCAAAAAAGAGGCUCUGGCGACUGUUUACCAAAAACACAGAUCUCUGCUAAGACUUAAGUCUAAGUAUAGGGAUUGAGACCUGCCCGGUGCCAGAAGGUUAAAGAAGGGGGUCAACGGGGUAACCCGUGAAGCUCUUGACUGAAGCCCUGGUAAACGGCGGCUGUAACAAUAACAGUCCUAAGGUAGCGAAAUUCCUUGUCGGGUAAGUUCCGACCUGCAUGAAUGGUAUAACGACUGGAGCGCUGUCUCAACAGGGGUCUUGGUGAAAUUGAAGUAUCGGUGCAAAUACCGAUUACCCGCAGCUAGACGGUAAGACCCUGUGAACCUUUACUGUACCCUGGCAUUGUAUUCUGGCACGUUCUGUGUAGGAUAGGUGGGAGGCUAUGAAGCGUGGGCGCCAGCUUGCGUGGAGCCAACCUUGAAAUACCACCCUUAACGUGUCGGACUACUAACGGAUGCUGUGGAAGCAUCUAGACAGUGUCAGGCGGGCAGUUUGACUGGGGCGGUCACCUCCCAAAGUGUAACGGAGGUGUACGAAGGUUCCCUCGAGCUGUAUAGAAAUCAGCUGAAAGAGCGUAAAGGUAUAAGGGAGCUUGACUGCGAGAGAGACAUCUCGAGCAGGGACGAAAGUCGGUCUUAGUGAUCCGGUGGUUUUUGUAUGGAAAAGCCAUCGCUUAACGGACAAAAGGUACUCCGGGGAUAACAGGCUGAUACCGCCCAAGAGUUCACAUCGACGGCGGUGUUUGGCACCUCGAUGUCGGCUCAACUCAUCCUGGGGCUGAAGUAGGUCCCAAGGGUUCGGCUGUUCGCCGAUUAAAGAGUUACGUGAGCUGGGUUCAGAACGUCGUGAGACAGUUCGGUCCCUAUCUACUGUGGGCGCUGGAUAUUUGAGGGGAGCUGUUCCUAGUACGAGAGGAUCGGAAUGGACGUACCUCUGGUGCACCAGUUGUCGUGCCAACGGCACAGCUGGGUAGCUAUGUACGGAAGGGAUAACCACUGAAAGCAUCUAAGUGGGAAGCCUCCCCCAAGAUUAGAUAUCCCUUAAGGUUCCAGGUAGACUACCUGGUUGAUAGGUCGCAGGUGUAAGUACAGUAAUGUAUUCAGCCGAGCGAUACUAAUAAACCGUUUGACUUGCCCCC